AUUGUUCUGAUGACAGGGCUGGAAUGUGACGGUUAAUUCCCUGUGGAGUAGGGGGCUGAGCAAGGCCUGCUGCUGUUGAACAAACUUCAGUACCCCCUUAUAAAAAAACAAAAACAAAAACAAAGCUACUAUGCUUCCUAGUAUUAAGGUUAAAAAAGCUCCUUGAACAAGAAAAGGCUUAUCAAGCCCGCAAAGAAAAGGAAAAUGCUAAACGACUCAAUAAACUAAGAGAUGAGCUUGUUAAACUCAAGUCCUUUGCACUCAUGCUGGUGGAUGAAAGACAAAUGCACAUUGAACAACUUGGCCUGCAAAGCCAGAAAGUACAGGAUCUUACUCAGAAGCUGAGGGAAGAAGAAGAAAAGCUCAAAGCCAUUACUUCCAAAUCCAAAGAAGACAGACAGAAAUUGCUCAAGUUAGAAGUGGACUUUGAACACAAGGCUUCGAGGUUUUCUCAAGAGCAUGAAGAGAUGAACGCUAAACUGGCUAAUCAAGAGUCUCACAAUAGGCAACUUAGACUCAAGCUAGUUGGCUUAACCCAAAGAAUCGAGGAGCUAGAAGAGACCAACAAAAAUCUGCAGAAGGCAGAAGAAGAACUUCAGGAAUUAAGAGAUAAAAUUGCCAAAGGAGAAUGUGGAAACUCUAGCCUCAUGGCAGAAGUGGAAAAUCUUCGAAAGCGUGUGCUUGAAAUGGAAGGUAAAGAUGAGGAGAUCACUAAAACUGAAUCCCAGUGUAGGGAAUUGAGGAAGAAGCUGCAAGAGGAAGAACACCAUAGUAAGGAGCUCAAACUUGAAGUUGAGAAGCUACAGAAGAGAAUGUCUGAACUAGAGAAAUUGGAAGAAGCAUUUAGCAAGAGUAAAUCUGAGUGCACCCAGCUACAUUUAAAUCUGGAGAAAGAAAAGAACUUAACCAAAGACCUGCUAAAUGAAUUGGAGGUGGUCAAGAGUCGAGUUAAAGAAUUGGAAUGUUCUGAAAGUAGAUUGGAAAAGGCUGAAUUAAGCCUAAAAGAUGAUCUUACAAAGUUGAAGUCAUUUACCGUGAUGCUGGUUGAUGAAAGGAAAAAUAUGAUGGAAAAAAUAAAGCAAGAAGAGAGAAAAGUGGAUGGACUCAAUAAAAAUUUUAAGGUGGAACAAGGAAAAGUUAUGGAUGUAACUGAAAAACUAAUUGAAGAAAGUAAGAAACUUUUAAAACUAAAAUCUGAAAUGGAGGAAAAAGUAUACAACUUGACAAGAGAAAGAGAUGAGUUGAUAGGCAAAUUGAAAAGUGAAGAAGAAAAAUCCUCUGAAUUAAGCUGCAGUGUUGACUUACUGAAGAAGAGACUUGAUGGUAUAGAGGAAGUGGAAAGAGAAAUAACAAGAGGAAGGUCACGAAAAGGGUCUGAGCUCACCUGCCCGGAAGAUAAUAAGAUUAAGGAACUAACACUUGAAAUUGAGAGACUGAAGAAACGUCUCCAACAAUUGGAAGUGGUCGAAGGGGAUUUGAUGAAGACAGAAGAUGAGUAUGAUCAGCUGGAACAGAAAUUUAGAACUGAGCAGGAUAAGGCUAACUUCCUCUCUCAACAACUAGAGGAGAUCAAGCACCAAAUUGCCAAGAAUAAAGCAAUAGAGAAGGGUGAGGUUGUGAGCCAGGAAGCUGAACUGAGACACAGAUUUCGGUUGGAAGAAGCUAAAAGUCGAGACUUAAAAGCCGAAGUACAAGCUCUUAAAGAGAAGAUUCACGAAUUAAUGAACAAAGAAGAUCAGCUUUCUCAGCUCCAGGUAGAUUAUUCUGUACUUCAACAAAGAUUUAUGGAAGAAGAAAAUAAGAACAAAAACAUGGGGCAGGAGGUCCUCAAUCUGACCAAAGAGUUGGAGCUGUCCAAGCGCUACAGCAGAGCUCUUAGGCCCAGUGUGAAUGGAAGAAGAAUGGUGGAUAUUCCUGUGACGUCAACUGGAGUCCAAACUGAUGCAGUCAGCAGUGAAGCAACAGAGGAAGAAACGCCAGCUGUAUUCAUACGGAAAUCCUUCCAGGAAGAAAAUCAUAUUAUGAGUAAUCUUCGGCAGGUGGGAUUGAAGAAACCCAUGGAAAGAUCCUCUGUUCUAGACAGGUAUCCUCCAGCAGCAAAUGAGCUCACUAUGAGAAAGUCUUGGAUUCCAUGGAUGAGAAAGAGGGAAAAUGGCCCCUCAAUCACUCAGGAGAAAGGGCCCCGAACAAAUUCCAGUCCAGGGCACCCAGGAGAGGUAGUCCUUUCACCAAAGCAGGGCCAGCCCCUGCAUAUUCGAGUGACACCAGACCACGAGAACAGCACUGCGACUUUGGAGAUAACAAGCCCGACAUCUGAAGAAUUUUUUUCUAGUACCACCGUCAUUCCUACCUUAGGGAAUCAGAAACCAAGAAUAACCAUUAUUCCAUCACCAAAUGUUAUGCCUCAAAAACAAAAAAGUAGAGAUACUACUCUUGGCCCAGAACGAGCCAUGUCCCCAGUCACAAUUACUACAUUUUCCAGAGAGAAGACUCCAGAAAGUGGAAGAGGCGCAUUUGCAGACAGGCCCACAUCCCCUAUUCAGAUAAUGACGGUGUCUACAUCAGCAGCACCAGCUGAGAUUGCAGUUUCUCCCGAAUCCCAGGAAAUGCCCAUGGGACGGACAAUCCUCAAAGUCACCCCAGAAAAACAGACUGUUCCAACUCCAGUACGGAAAUACAACUCCAAUGCCAAUAUCAUAACCACAGAGGACAAUAAAAUUCACAUUCACUUAGGGUCUCAGUUUAAACGGUCCCCUGGGACUUCGGGUGAAGGAGUCAGUCCAGUUAUUACUGUCCGACCAGUAAACCUGACAGCCGAAAAGGAGGUUUCCACCGGCACUGUCCUUCGCUCUCCCAGGAACCACAUCUCCUCACGGCCUGGUGGAAGCAAAGUGACGAGCACUAUCACCAUAACACCGGUCACAACGUCAUCUGCUCGAGGAACCCAGUCAGUGUCAGGACAAGACGGGUCAUCCCAGCGGCCUACACCCACCCGCAUUCCUAUGUCAAAAGGUAUGAAAGCAGGAAAGCCAGUAGUGGCAGCCCCAGGAGCAGGAAAUCUGACCAAAUUCGAGCCUCGAGCUGAGACUCAGUCUAUGAAAAUAGAGCUGAAGAAAUCUGCAGCCAGCAGCACCACCUCUCUCGGAGGGGGGAAGGGCUGAGGGCAGUGGCUAAGGGGGUAUGUUGUGCAGAUGCUACUGCUGCCGUGAAAGUGAACCUUCAUCUGUUUGUGCCAGUUCUUUACAUGUACUAAUUUAAGUUUUAAAUAUUGUGUUUAUAAAAUAACCAACUAAUAACCAUUUGUCUUUCCUAUUUUGUGCAUUUGUUUUGAUGCUGGGGAACAAAAUUAGCAAAACUAUUGCUUGCUGCCUAGAAGCCAGGGCGUGGUUUCUAGUUCCAGCUUUGCUUCUAGCAAGUAGACCCAUCAAUAGACCCAUCUGAGCCUAUUUCCUCAUCAGUUAGAUGUGGGGACUCAAUCACAUGCUCUUCAAGGCCGGCUCCCAUAUUUCCUGAUUGCAAGCCAAAUUUAAUGUACCUUGUUCCACAAUAAUUUUUUAUUAAAAAAAUCCUAUUACAAAAUAAGACAUACUUUAACUAUUGUCAUUUGCCUCUUUCACAUCAUGAAUUUGCUUUAUGUGCUGGAAAAAACAUCACAUAGCUAUCACAGGGCCUGGACCUCUAAAAUUUUGCAAAAACAAAAGGUUCUAAGAUGAUUUCAGGAAAUAAUAUGAAUGUGUAAUAAAAUGGAAAUGAAAUAUGGAAUC
rnacentral:sRNA from 1 species